rnacentral:rRNA from 1 species
AUAAGCGGAAGAAAUUCCGUCUAAUACCGCGUAACAACCCGAGGAGGCAUCUCCUCGGGUUUAAAGGAAGCGAUUCCGGCUACGGAUGGUCAUGUGUCGCAUUAGCUAGUUGGCGGGGUAACGGCCCACCAAGGCGACGAUGCGUAGGGGUUCUGAGAGGAAGGUCCCCCACACUGGUACUGAGACACGGACCAGACUCCUACGGGAGGCAGCAGUGAGGAAUAUUGGUCAAUGGCCGCAGGGCUGAACCAGCCAAGUCGCGUGAGGGAUGACGGUCCUAUGGAUUGUAAACCUCUUUUGUCAGGGAGCAAAGGGCGCCACGUGUGGUGUUUUGCGAGUACCUGAAGAAAAAGCAUCGGCUAACUCCGUGCCAGCAGCCGCGGUAAUACGGAGGAUGCGAGCGUUAUCCGGAUUUAUUGGGUUUAAAGGGUGCGCAGGCGGAAUGUCAAGUCAGCGGUAAAAUUUCGGGGCUCAACCCCGUCGUGCCGUUGAAACUGGCGUUCUUGAGUGAGCGAGAAGUAUGCGGAAUGCGUGGUGUAGCGGUGAAAUGCAUAGAUAUCACGCAGAACUCCGAUUGCGAAGGCAGCAUACCGGCGCUCAACUGACGCUCAUGCACGAAAGCGUGGGUAUCGAACAGGAUUAGAUACCCUGGUAGUCCACGCAGUAAACGAUGAAUACUAACUGUCCGGGCAGAAUGAUGCCUGGGUG